rnacentral:rRNA from 1 species
AUGUGGUAUAAUGAUCUGUCAGCAUACGUGGAGCUAAGUUUUGCUCGGGAUCGUGUGGUGGAGUGCUACCUUUGGGGCUACUCUGUCUUCUAUGAGGAAGAGUACUCUCUAGAACGAAUGAUCUUUGCAAAGUGCACAUUUGUGCACACGUUAUUGGAUGACAUCAACGACGUUCGUGCCACCUUGGUGGAGUAUCGGAAGCUAGACACAGCCAUACAGAGAUGGAAUGAGAGUGCUAUUUCCCUUGUGCCCAACUACUUGAAGAAGUUCUAUAAUAAACUUCUGAUGUGCUUUAGGGAGUUCGAGGAUGAGUUGACACUUAAUGGUAGAUACCCGAUUGAUCACAUCAAGAAGACGUUCCAACAACAGUCAAAAUUUUAUCUCCAUGAAGCUGAGUGGUUACACCAGAACCACAAGCCAAGCUUUAAAGAUAAACUGCAUCUGGCUGCCAUGUCCACGGGCGUCACCGCGCUAUGUGUGUAUACGAUGGUUUGCAUGGGUGAUGGAGCACCCAAGGGAGCACUCGAGUGGGCACUUGGAUACCCCGAUGUCAUCAUGGCGUGCGCCAAGAUUGGGCGCUUAAUGAAUGACCUUGCUGGCUCAUCUAAAGUACGUACACACUUAUGGGCAUAUAUUUUAUCUGUAACUAUAAUCUCUGGCAUACUACUACUAGCAUACUCAAGUAUUUAUUAG